rnacentral:lncRNA from 1 species
GAUAUGUUAAAAUAUGCUUGGUAUGCAGCAAAAUUAGUUGAAAAAAGAAAUGUAUUUUUAAACGUGAAUCAGGUUUCAUUUUCCGACAUUAUUAAAACUUCCAAAUGUAAUUGUGGGAUGGCUACAUUUGUACAGUGUUCUUGGUGCCAACAUAUUUUAUGUUUUCGAUGUUUUUAUGAUAAAUAUCAUAAUAAUGAUUGUAUAUCUAAUGAAAAAAAUUCUAUGUUAACUAAUAUAAUGCAAUACUUUAAAAUGUUUUAAUAAAUAAAAUCAAUUGUGCCUUUGAUUUAUUGCAAUAUCUUUCAGAAUUGAAUCAAAAUAUCUAUCUGUUUUGUAUUUACAUAAUUGUCGAUUUUUGAAAUGAG